rnacentral:rRNA from 1 species
GACGUAGGGGACGAGCGUUGUUCGGAUUCAUUGGGCGUAAAGGGUGCGUAGGCGGGUCUUUAAGUCAGGGGUGAAAUCCUGGAGCUCAACUCCAGAACUGCCUUUGAUACUGAAGAUCUUGAGUUCGGGAGAGGUGAGUGGAACUGCGAGUGUAGAGGUGAAAUUCGUAGAUAUUCGCAAGAACACCAGUGGCGAAGGCGGCUCACUGGCCCGAUACUGACGCUGAGGCACGAAAGCGUGGGGAGCAAACAGG